UGCACAAUGCUUGGAGCUCACAAUAAUUAUUUUCUUUUUUCAGAGCAGAGCAGUUUUCUUUGUUGCAGAAAUGGCUCCAAGGAACAGGAUAAUUGCUAAGAAAUUGGGAAAGAACUUUGUAUACUGAAGUCUCAUUCAUUGUUACAUUUCUAGCUGAAAUGACGAAGCCUAGCCCAAGGAAGAGGUCACGCACAAGAGCGAUCACAAGCGACACGGCUAAGGGCAGAUGCUGUGGUGUUUCCGCCACUCAGAUUAAGACCGCCCGUGUAGCGCCCCUUAAGGGUUUUUUCGCCACGAAGCAGGAAAUCAGCUACUGGUCUGUCGGUCAGAGCUGGUGGAUGGCAUAGAGAAAUCAUGGCAUUUUUAGUGGUAUAUUUCAUGACGCGGCGGGAAGUGGGCGUCCUGGCACGUGGGUAAUGCAGUAAUGGGGGGAGGUGUGUAGGGUACGGGGGCGGGGUAUUGGUCUGUCGGUCAAACCCACAAGCCCUCCUAGUCUGCAGACCUUUCGGCCCGUUACUAGCAAAUUGACGCCCCUGAGUUGCGCGCGGUCACGCUCCUUGGUUACGUGGGGACGCCCAGUUCUCUCGUCAUGCUGUUGCAUGAAUUGUGUUAUCAAUUCAAAUCCAAAUUGGAUUAAGGAUAUGUUAUUAUCCUAGUAGUUGAGGAUCGCUCAUUUUUCAUAAUUUAGAUUUGAAUUUAAUAAAUGUGACCUUUUCUAACGCCAAA